CAGCAGCCACGGUAAUACAGAGGGUGCGAGCGUUAAUCGGAUUUACUGGGCGUAAAGCGUGCGUAGGCGGCUUUUUAAGUCGGAUGUGAAAUCCCUGAGCUUAACUUAGGAAUUGCAUUCGAUACUGGGAAGCUAGAGUAUGGGAGAGGAUGGUAGAAUUCCAGGUGUAGCGGUGAAAUGCGUAGAGAUCUGGAGGAAUACCGAUGGCGAAGGCAGCCAUCUGGCAUAAUACUGACGCUGAGGUACGAAAGCAUGGGGAGCAAACAGGAUUAGAGACCCCUGUAGUCCCUGUCUCUUAUAC
rnacentral:rRNA from 1 species